GUGGGGAGGCGGGGGAUCAGGCUGCGCUAGCAUUGGCGGAGCUGGGGAGUGGGGAGGGGGGGCAGGAAGCGGGGGGGAGCGGAGCUGCAGGGGGGGGGUAUAUAAAUAGGGAAUGGGGGACGUGCAUCCUCCGCUGGGUGAGGGGGGGGCGCUCGGCACAAAGAAAGUGGAAAGUUUGCAGCGCUAGGCGGCCUAGGCUAGGGAGCCCGGUGCGCACGUGCUGGGCCGGGGCCACCGAGACCCCCCACGCCGAGCUCGCUUUUUUUCUUUCUGCAAGCUGGGGGGGGGGUGUUGUUGGUAUCGCCCCCUCCUUCUCCUCCCCCCCCAGGGGUGAAAGUGCAAGAGGAAGUGCAGCCGCUGCCAUCUUUCCUCCGUUCCGAACGCACGGAGCCUGGGGCCGCAGCACCGCCGCUCCGUCGCCGCCCGCGCCUGGCCUGGGGAAGGGCCCACCCUGCUGCCGCCACCAGCUCGUUUCGGCCGCCGCCUUCGCCGGGCUCCAAGACCCGGCCUACGCCGCCGCCCCCGUGUGCGCCGACUGCCGCCGCCGCCUUCGCCUUUUGUUUCCUUUGCUCCGGCGCCCCCGCCCCGGCUCGCGCUUUGCAGGGGACGCAGCGCGCGCCCCCAACGGGCCCGGGAAAAGCCUCGGAGCGCGCGCUUGCGCUUGCGCGGCGGACCCCUCCUCCUCCCCGCGCGCUCGCGCCUUUUGCCUGCGCGCCGGCGCCGCCUGGCGGGCGGGAGGGGAGGUGGCAGCCGCGUUUACAGGAGGGGCGCACCUCUUCGCUCGUUUACCCCUUGGAAGGUAGACCGAGGAAGGGAGGCGGGCAGGCGGAGAGCGAGUUUAGCGCUGGGCCCGGAGGGGGGGCGGGGUGGCUAUGUGGGGGACAGUGCACCGCUGGGUCUAGACCUUUUGAUUAGGGCAGGGGGCGUGUGCGCUGGGCGCACCUGCGAGGACUACCGAGCUCUGGGCCGCACGUGCCGGGAGUGUGACUCGUCCGCGGCGCAGGGCUUUUUGCUGCCUUAGGGAAGGGACUAGGGACUGGGGAGUGCCCGGCCCGGCUACUGGGGAGGGGGCAGCGGCCAUGGAGCGGGUCAACGACCCUUCCUGCGGCCCGUCGGGCUGCUACACCUACCAGGUGAGCAGACACAGUACGGAGAUGCUGCACAACCUGAACCAGCAACGCAAAAACGGCGGGCGCUUUUGCGACGUGCUCCUACGGGUAGGCGACGAGAGCUUCCCGGCGCACCGCGCAGUACUGGCCGCCUGCAGCGAGUACUUUGAGUCUGUGUUCAGCGCCCAGUUGGGCGACGGCGGAGCUGCAGACGGUGGUCCUGCUGAUGUAGGAGGCGCGGCAGCGGCUCCGGGCGGCGGGGCUGGAGGCAGCCGCGAGCUGGAGAUGCACACCAUCAGUUCCAAAGUGUUCGGAGACAUCCUGGACUUCGCUUACACGUCCCGAAUCGUUGUGCGCCUAGAGAGCUUCCCCGAGCUCAUGACGGCCGCCAAGUUCCUGCUGAUGAGGUCGGUCAUCGAGAUCUGCCAGGAAGUGAUCAAACAGUCCAACGUGCAGAUCCUGGUGCCCCCUGCACGGGCUGAUAUCAUGCUCUUCCGCCCUCCUGGGACCUCCGAGUUGGGCUUCCCUUUGGACAUGACCAACGGGGCAGCCUUGGCAGCAAACAGUAAUGGCAUUGCUGGCAGCAUGCAGCCCGAGGAGGAGGCUGCCAGGGCCACAGGUGCAGCUAUUGCGGGCCAAGCUUCCCUGCCUGUGUUACCUGGGGUGGACCGUUUGCCCAUGGUGGCUGGACCCCUGUCGCCCCAACUGCUGACUUCUCCGUUCCCCAAUGUGGCAUCCAGUGCCCCUCCACUGACUGGCAAGCGAGGCCGGGGACGCCCCAGGAAGGCUAACCUGCUGGACUCCAUGUUUGGGUCUCCAGGGGGCUUGAGGGAAGCAGGCAUCCUUCCUUGUGGCCUGUGUGGAAAGGUGUUCACUGAUGCCAACCGGCUCCGGCAACAUGAGGCCCAGCACGGCGUCACUAGCCUCCAGUUGGGCUAUAUAGAUCUUCCUCCUCCAAGGCUGGGUGAGAAUGGGCUGCCCAUCUCCGAGGACCCUGAUGGUCCCAGAAAGAGGAGCCGGACCAGGAAGCAGGUGGCUUGUGAGAUCUGUGGAAAGAUCUUCCGUGACGUGUACCAUCUCAACCGGCAUAAGUUGUCCCACUCAGGGGAGAAGCCAUACUCCUGCCCGGUGUGUGGUCUGCGGUUCAAGAGAAAAGACCGCAUGUCCUACCAUGUGAGGUCCCAUGAUGGGUCAGUGGGCAAGCCGUACAUCUGCCAGAGCUGUGGGAAAGGUUUCUCCAGGCCGGAUCACUUGAACGGACACAUCAAGCAGGUGCACACUUCUGAGCGACCUCACAAGUGUCAGACCUGCAAUGCCUCUUUUGCCACUCGAGACCGCUUGCGCUCCCACCUGGCCUGUCAUGAAGACAAGGUGCCCUGCCAGGUGUGUGGGAAGUACUUGAGGGCAGCAUACAUGGCGGACCACCUGAAGAAGCACAGCGAGGGGCCCAGCAACUUCUGCAGUAUCUGUAACCGAGGUUUCUCCUCUGCCUCCUACUUAAAGGUCCAUGUUAAAACCCACCACGGUGUUCCCCUUCCCCAGGUCUCCAGGCACCAGGAACCCAUCCUGAAUGGGGGAGCAGCGUUCCACUGCACCAGGACCUAUGGCAACAAAGAAGGCCAGAAAUGCUCACAUCAGGAUCUGAUUGAAAGCUCUGAUUCCUAUGGUGACCUCUCGGAUGCCAGUGACCUGAAGACACCAGAGAAACAGAGUGCCAAUGGCUCUUUCUCCUGCGACAUGGCAGUCCCUAAAAACAAAAUGGAGUCUGACGGGGAGAAGAAGUACCCAUGCCCGGAAUGUGGGAGCUUUUUCCGUUCUAAGUCCUACUUGAACAAACACAUCCAGAAGGUGCAUGUUCGGGCCAUUGGGGGUCCCUUGGGGGACCUGGGCCCUGCCCUUGGUUCACCUUUCUCUCCCCAGCAGAACAUGUCUCUCCUUGAGUCCUUUGGAUUUCAGAUUGUUCAGUCAGCGUUUGCAUCAUCUUUAGUGGAUCCUGAGGUGGACCAGCAACCCAUGGGGCCUGAAGGGAAGUGAGACAUGCUGCGUCCCCACAGAACAGCCGUUGGGGACUGCUUGGAAAUGCUGUGAAUGCGCAGGGAAGUGAUGUCUUUGGGUUCUGUAGCUGAGAGAUUUUUAUUCAUUUCUAACCCCCAUCCCUGCUCCUGCUCUGUUCCCUCCCUGUCUAUCACCAGACCCCCCUCCCCCGUGGGCUUAGAAAUAGACUCUAAUCUGAUACUCUCUGCAGAUAUAUCUGCAAGACGCGGUAUGGGACGAGGUCAGAAAACACUACAUAGGCCUCUAAGGUAGCACCAGUCCUGGUUUCUCUAGUGGUCUGGAGCCAGAAUUCCUGGUGCUCAAAUCUUGGUGAUCCUAAACCUCAACUCCAAGGCACUCUUAGACCUUGGUAGUUCUGGGCCCUUCCCACUUCUUUCCUCAUUCCCCCUUCCUGUCCUCUCGAAAGAAAUUACCGUAGGGUCUCUACCCUCGAUGGCCAACUAUUCUUAAGGAAGCCAGAAACCUACAGCAUCCCCUGGACCAUAGGGUAUGUGUCCUCUGAGCCCUCUGAGGUUGACCCUGGUCUUCCUGAGCUACUGGACAAGCUCAUCUACUGAGGACACCUCUACCACAAAUUCCAGUUCUUACUUGAUUUUAACCAUUCAACUUGCUGUUGGGUUUUGACUCUCUAAUUCUUAUUAUUGUUAUUUUUAGGACCAGUUGUAGUGAAUUGCUACUGAAAGCUACCCCAGGUGACACAGAGCUCUUUGUAAACCGCAGUCACACAUUAGGUUCUAGUAUGCCUGAUGGGUAGAUGUUCCCACCAGAAGACUUCAAUUUAUAGGACUCACUAGCUCAACAAACACCCAGCCCUUAUCUUCACUGCUUGUGUGUCAGUUGUGGAUGUAAGAAGAAAAGACAGUCCUUCUGAAGACAUUCUUAGUUCUGUGCCCUGGACACCUCCUGGCCCUUUCCCUGAGUGUGGAGGUGGGAGUGGAGAACAGCACACAGGACAAGAGAGUUGAGAAGUGAGUCUGUGUGUGCAUGCCUGCAAAUGUCUGUGCAGAUGAGCACCUGUGGAGGCCCAAGGACAGUCUCCAGUGUGGGUCUAUGGAGCCAUCCAACUUUUUCUUUUGUUUUUUUAAUUUUAUGUUCAUUGGUAUUUUGUCUGCAUGUGUGUCUGUGAUGAUGUCAGAAACCCUGAAACUGGGGUUACAUGAAGGUGUGAGCUGCCGUAUUGGGAACUGAAAGCUGGGUUCUCUGGAAAAACAGCUGUGCUUUUAACCUCUGAGCCAUCUCUCUGGUCCCCACCUUGUUUUUUUGCAGGCCCCUGGGAUCCACCUGUCUCCCUAGUUCUGAGAUUAUAAGUGCAUACCACUGCUGGGUGCAGUGGUCCACGCCUGUAAUCCUGGCACUCAGGAGGCAGAGGCAGGCGUAUUGCUGUGAGUUUGAGGUCAGCCUGGUCUACAAAGUGAGGCCAGGACAGCCAAACACAGAGAAACCCUGUCUCGAAAAAAAAAACAAAACAAAAACAAGUGCACACUACUGUGCCUGGCCUUUUUUUUUUU